UACGUAGGUGGCAAGCGUUGUUCGGAAUUAUUGGGCGUAAAGAGCGCGUAGGCGGCCGAGUAAGUCCGACGUGAAAUCUGGAGGCUCAACCUCCAGCGGUCGUUGGAAACUACUCGGCUAGAGUCCGGAAGAGGAGAGUGGAAUUCCUGGUGUAGCGGUGAAAUGCGCAGAUAUCAGGAAGAACACCGAUGGCGAAAGCAGCUCUCUGGGACGGUACUGACGCUGAGGCGCGAAAGCGUGGGGAGCGAACAGG
rnacentral:rRNA from 1 species